GAGCCUAUAGCUCAGCUGGUUAGAGCGCACGCCUGAUAAGCGUGAGGUCGGUGGUUCGAGUCCACUUAGUACUCA
rnacentral:tRNA from 1 species